rnacentral:rRNA from 1 species
GGUGAGUAACGCGUGGGAACGUACCUUUUGGUUCGGAACAACACAGGGAAACUUGUGCUAAUACCGGAUAAGCCCUUACGGGGAAAGAUUUAUCGCCGAAAGAUCGGCCCGCGUCUGAUUAGCUAGUUGGUGAGGUAAUGGCUCACCAAGGCGACGAUCAGUAGCUGGUCUGAGAGGAUGAUCAGCCACAUUGGGACUGAGACACGGCCCAAACUCCUACGGGAGGCAGCAGUGGGGAAUAUUGGACAAUGGGGGCAACCCUGAUCCAGCCAUGCCGCGUGAGUGAUGAAGGCCCUAGGGUUGUAAAGCUCUUUUGUGCGGGAAGAUAAUGACGGUACCGCAAGAAUAAGCCCCGGCUAACUUCGUGCCAGCAGCCGCGGUAAUACGAAGGGGGCUAGCGUUGCUCGGAAUCACUGGGCGUAAAGGGUGCGUAGGCGGGUCUUUAAGUCAGGGGUGAAAUCCUGGAGCUCAACUCCAGAACUGCCUUUGAUACUGAAGAUCUUGAGUUCCGGAGAGGUGAGUG